rnacentral:rRNA from 1 species
AUUGAACGCUGGCGGCAUGCCUUACACAUGCAAGUCGAACGGUAACGCGGGGCAACCUGGCGACGAGUGGCGAACGGGUGAGUAAAGCAUCGGAACGUGCCCAGUAGUGGGGGAUAGCCCGGCGAAAGCCGGAUUAAUACCGCAUACGACCUACGGGUGAAAGGGGGGGAUCGCAAGACCUCUCGCUAUUGGAGCGGCCGAUGUCAGAUUAGGUAGUUGGUGGGGUAAAGGCCUACCAAGCCGACGAUCUGUAGCUGGUCUGAGAGGACGACCAGCCACACUGGGACUGAGACACGGCCCAGACUCCUACGGGAGGCAGCAGUGGGGAAUUUUGGACAAUGGGCGCAAG